rnacentral:ncRNA from 1 species
CCUGGGCUGCCAUUUCACGAUCAGACAGGCCACCGCAAAUCUGGAUAAUACGGUCAGACAGCGUCGACUUACCGUGGUCAAUGUGAGCAAUGAUCGAAAAGUUACGUAUGUUCUUCAUAUAGUUAAAUAAUUAUGCCUUACGAAUUCCUGGAGGCCGCUGUUCUUAGCCUGACGUUUUUCAGUGCGAAAACGCAGCAUUCUACACUACAUCCCCGUCACCUGGAAAUGCACUUAGAGCCAAGCAUAGCGCGAAGAAACGGCGUUUUCUUUUUUGGGAUGUAAAUAAUGAUAAAGCCCGGCAGAUUACCGGGCCUCAGAAGAGAGCGUUUCAACACGAAGCUGGUCAGGCGCCAGCGCUACGCUGAGAAUAACAGGCUGCCACUCUUCGCGGGCGGCAAGCUUAGGCGAGAUGCCUUUGGCAAGCCAGAAACCACCCACACCGCCCAAUGCAGCCCCGCACAUGGCGGCAAUAUCGGUACCGAAAAGCAUCUGGAAAACACCGCCCAUGACAAACAGCCCCACCAGCGGAGAAAGGUAAACCAGCAUUGCGGAACCCAGCAGGCUGCCUUCGGCAAUUCCCAGUUCGACUUUCUGCCCUGCCAUCAGAGGCUGUUCGCUCGGCACGGAGAGGGUGUGCGAGGUCUGAGGGCCGAGUUUAUUCAGCACCCGGCUUCCGCAACCCGCUCUGGAUGCGCAGCUAUUGCAGGAUGCUUUCACAUCACAGCUAACCAGUGCGAUGCCAUCCUUCCAUGAGACGACGGUAGCCCACUCUUUAAUCAUUGCGUAGCCUUGAAUUUGAUGCUGUCGGAAAUGCG